ACUAUUUUGGCAGAUUAGUGCUAUAAAUUUAGAAUUUAUAUAUGUAAUUAAAAAUACAAAUAGUA
rnacentral:tRNA from 1 species